GUUAUAUGGUCAAGUGAAUAAGCGCAUACGGUGAAUGCCUAGGCAGUAAGAGGCGAUGAAGGACGUUGUAGCAUGCGAAAAGCUUUGGGGAGCCUGCAAACCGGCUGUGAUCCAGAGAUGUCCGAAUGGGGAAACCCGGCGUGCAUAAGCACGUCAUCUUUGAGUGAAUACAUAGCUCACUGAAGCGAACCCGGAGAACUGAAACAUCUAAGUACCCGGAGGAAAAGAAAUCAACCGAGAUUCCCUAAGUAGUGGCGAGCGAACGGGGACUAGCCCUUAAGCUAGGAUAAGGUUAGUGGAACGGUCUGGAAAGUCCGGCGAUACAGGGUGAUAGCCCCGUACACGAAAACCUUUUUUUAGUGAAAUCGAGUAGGUCGGAGCACGUGAAACUUUGACUGAAUAUGGGGGGACCAUCCUCCAAGGCUAAAUACUCCUUACUGACCGAUAGUGAACUAGUACCGUGAGGGAAAGGCGAAAAGAACCGCGGAGAGCGGAGUGAAAUAGAACCUGAAACCGUAUGCGUACAAGCAGUGGGAGCCCCUUCGUGGGGUGACUGCGUACCUUUUGUAUAAUGGGUCAGCGACUUACAUUUUGUGGCAAGCUUAACCGAAUAGGGGAGGCGUAGCGAAAGCGAGUCUUAAUAGGGCGUUUAGUCGCAAGGUGUAGACCCGAAACCGGGCGAUCUAUCCAUGGCCAGGCUGAAGGUGUGGUAACACACACUGGAGGGCCGAACCCACGUCUGUUGAAAAAGACGGGGAUGAGCUGUGGAUCGGAGUGAAAGGCUAAUCAAGCUCGGAGAUAGCUGGUUCUCCUCGAAAGCUAUUUAGGUAGCGCCUCGUGUAUCACUGCUGGGGGUAGAGCACUGUUUCGGCUAGGGGGUCAUCCCGACUUACCAACCCGAUGCAAACUCCGAAUACCAGCAAGUGCAAGCACGGGAGACACACGGCGGGUGAUAAGGUCCGUCGUGAAAAGGGAAACAGCCCAGACCGUCAGCUAAGGUCCCCAAAUCUAUGCUCAGUGGGAAACGAUGUGGAAAGGCACAGACAGCCAGGAGGUUGGCUUAGAAGCAGCCAUCCUUUAAAGAAAGCGUAAUAGCUCACUGGUCGAGUCGGUCUGCGCGGAAGAUUUACCGGGGCUAAGCAUAGUACCGAAGCUACGGAUUUACGCGUUAAGCGUGAGUGGUAGAGGAGCGUUCCGUACGCCUGCGAAGGUUCAUUGAGAAGUGGGCUGGAGGUAUCGGAAGUGCGAAUGCUGACAUAAGUAACGAUAAAGGGGGUGAAAAACCCCCUCGCCGAAAACCCAAGGUUUCCUGCGCAACGUUAAUCGACGCAGGGUUAGUCGGCACCUAAGGCGAGGCUGAAAAGCGUAGUCGAUGGAAAACAGGUUAAUAUUCCUGUACCAGUAGUAACUGCGAUGGGGUGACGGAGAAGGCUAUAUCAGCUGUCGGUUGGAAGUGGCAGUUUAAGCAGGUAGGCAUGCAUCUUAGGCAAAUCCGGGGUGCUUUAUGCUGAGACGUGAUGACGAGCGGUUCGAAAGAACAGCGAAGUGAUAGAUGCCCUGCUUCCAGGAAAAACCUCUAAGCUUCAGGUUACUAGUGGCCGUACCCUAAACCGACACAGGUGGGUGGGAUGAAAAUUCUAAGGCGCUUGAGAGAACCCAGGUGAAGGAACUAGGCAAAAUGAUACCGUAACUUCGGGAGAAGGUAUGCCCUCAUUACGUGAAGGUCCUCGCGACUGGAGCGGAAGGGGGUUGCAAAAAAUCGGUGGCUGCGACUGUUUAGCAAAAACAUAGCACUCUGCAAACACGAAAGUGGACGUAUAGGGUGUGACGCCUGCCCGGUGCUGGAAGGUUAAUUGAUGGGGUUAUCUUCGGAGAAGCUCUUGAUCGAAGCCCCAGUAAACGGCGGCCGUAACUAUAACGGUCCUAAGGUAGCGAAAUUCCUUGUCGGGUAAGUUCCGACCUGCACGAAUGGCGUAACGAUGGCCACACUGUCUCCACCUGGGACUCAGUGAAAUUGAAAUCGCUGUGAAGAUGCAGUGUACCCGCGGCUAGACGGAAAGACCCCGUGCACCUUUACUAUAGCUUGACACUGGACUUUGAACCUACUUGUGUAGGAUAGGUGGGAGGCUUUGAAGCGGGAACGCCAGUUCUCGUGGAGCCAACCUUGAAAUACCACCCUGGUAUGUUUGGAGUUCUAACCUCGAUCCAUUAUCUGGAUUAGGGACAGUGUCUGGUGGGUAGUUUGACUGGGGCGGUCUCCUCCUAAAGAGUAACGGAGGAGCACGAAGGUACCCUCAGCCUGGUCGGAAAUCAGGCAAUGAGUGCAAAGGCAUAAGGGUGCUUGACUGCGAGACGGACAAGUCGAGCAGGUACGAAAGUAGGUCUUAGUGAUCCGGUGGUUCUGUAUGGAAGGGCCAUCGCUCAACGGAUAAAAGGUACGCCGGGGAUAACAGGCUGAUACCGCCCAAGAGUUCAUAUCGACGGCGGUGUUUGGCACCUCGAUGUCGGCUCAUCACAUCCUGGGGCUGAAGCAGGUCCCAAGGGUAUGGCUGUUCGCCAUUUAAAGUGGUACGCGAGCUGGGUUCAGAACGUCGUGAGACAGUUCGGUCCCUAUCUGCCGUGGGCGUUUGAGAUUUGAGGGAAGCUGCUCCUAGUACGAGAGGACCGGAGUGGACGAACCUCUGGUGUUCCGGUUGUCAUGCCAAUGGCAUUGCCGGGUAGCCACGUUCGGACAGGAUAACCGCUGAAAGCAUCUAAGCGGGAAGCCCCUCCCAAGAUGAGAUCUCACUGGGACUUUAAGUCCCCUGAAGGGCCGUCGGAGACUACGACGUUGAUAGGCACGGUGUGGAAGCGCAGUAAUGUGUGAAGCUAACGUGUACUAAUUGCCCGUGAGGCUUGACCAUAUAACACCCAAUGCGUUUGG
rnacentral:rRNA from 2 species